GGAGAAAAGUGGGGGAUCUUCGGACCUCACGCUAUCAGAUGAGCCUAGGUCGGAUUAGCUAGUUGGUGGGGUAAAGGCCUACCAAGGCGACGAUCCGUAACUGGUCUGAGAGGAUGAUCAGUCACACUGGAACUGAGACACGGUCCAGACUCCUACGGGAGGCAGCAGUGGGGAAUAUUGGACAAUGGGCGAAAGCCUGAUCCAGCCAUGCCGCGUGUGUGAAGAAGGUCUUCGGAUUGUAAAGCACUUUAAGUUGGGAGGAAGGGCAGUAAGUUAAUACCUUGCUGUUUUGACGUUACCGACAGAAUAAGCACCGGCUAACUUCGUGCCAGCAGCCGCGGUAAUACGAAGGGUGCAAGCGUUAAUCGGAAUUACUGGGCGUAAAGCGCGCGUAGGUGGUUUGGUAAGAUGGAUGUGAAAUCCCCGGGCUCAACCUGGGAACUGCAUCCAUAACUGCCUGACUAGAGUACGGUAGAGGGUGGUGGAAUUUCCUGUGU
rnacentral:rRNA from 1 species